AUACGUAGGGGGCGAGCGUUGUCCGGAAUGAUUGGGCGUAAAGGGCGCGUAGGCGGCCCGGUAAGUCUGGAGUGAAAGUCCUGUUUUUAAGAUGGGAAUUGCUUUGGAUACUGUCGGGCUUGAGUGCAGGAGAGGUAAGUGGAAUUCCCAGUGUAGCGGUGAAAUGCGUAGAGAUUGGGAGGAACACCAGUGGCGAAGGCGACUUACUGGACUGUAACUGGCGCUGAGGCGCGAAAGUGUGGGGAGCAAACAGGAUUAGAUACCCUGGUAGUCCACACUGUAAACGAUGAAUGCUAGGUGUAGGGGGUAUCGACCCCUUCUGUGCCGCAGUCAACACAAUAAGCAUUCCGCCUGGGGAGUACGGCCGCAAGGUUGAAACUCAAAUGAAUUGACGGGG
rnacentral:rRNA from 1 species